UGUUCUUCAAGUUUUCUACCGUCCAGGAAUAGUCGAGCUGGAAAACGGGGCUUCGUUCUCUUUGAUUCAAUCUGAGACAGGUGCAGAUGCGGACCAACUCAGGACUGUUAUCGGAGCUCACGUCGCUAUGGGCAACCUUUUCACCACCAUUGAUGAUGACCAUUUCAAGUGCUCGUUCAACGGAUAAAAAUUGGUUGAGAUGUGGCGCAC